UACGGAGGGUGCGAGCGUUGUCCAGAAUCAUUGGGCGUAAAGAGCGUGUAGGCGGCCAGACAGGUCAGCUGUGAAAACUCGAGGCUCAACCUCGAGACGUCGGUUGAAACCGUCUGGCUAGAGUCCGGAAGAGGAGAGUGGAAUUCCCGGUGUAGCGGUGAAAUGCGCUGAUAUCGGGAAGAACACCCGUGGCGAAGGCGGCUCUCUGGGACGGUACUGACGCUGAGACGCGAAAGCGUGGGGAGCGAACAGG
rnacentral:rRNA from 1 species